AUCUAAUUAAAAGCCUGGGUGAAUAAAUGUGUCUUCAGUGCCUUUCUAAAAGUUGCCAGAGAUGGGGAGGCUCUUAUUUCAACAGGGAGCACAUUGCAAAGUCCAGGGGCAGCAACGGAGAAGGCCCGUUCUCGAGUAGACGCCAACGAACCUCUCCAGAUGAUCUUAACAGGCAGUGGGUGGAUGGGGGUGAAGAAGACAUUCUCUUAAAUACCCAGGGCAUAAACUGUUUAGGGCUUUAUAGGUAAUAACCAGCACCUUGUAUUUUGCCCGGAAAUGUAUCGGCAGCCAGCAUGGUUCUUUCAACACAUGAGUAAUAUGGUCAAUGUCUCCUAGAUGAUCCAGAGACGAACCUGGCCACCACAUUCUGGACCAACUGCAGUUUCCAGACUACGUACAAAGGCAGCCCCACAUAGAGUGCAUUGCAGUGAUCCAGCCUAGAGGUUACCAGCAUAUGCACCACCGUUUUGAGGUUGUUCAUCUCAAGAAAUGGACACAGCUGGAGUAUCAGCUGAAGCUGAUAAAAAGCAUCUCUGGCCACCAUCUCAACCUGGGACCCCAGGGAGAGGUUCAGAUCCAGAAGCACCCCCAGACUGCGUACUUGUUCCUUCCGGGGAGUGUGACCCCAUCCAGAACUGGCAAAUCAAAAUCAUCUCCCGAGUUCUGACCCUGCACAAUAAGUACCUUCGUCUUAUCUGCAUUCAGCCUCAGUUUGUUAUCCCUCUUCCAGCCCAUUACUGCCUCCAGGCAGGCAUUUAGGGAGGUUAUGCCUUCUCCUGAUGAUGUUGACAUGGAGAAAUAGAUUUGGGUGUCAUCAGCUCAUUGAUAACACCCUGCACCAGAUCUCCUGAUGAUCUCUCCCAGCGGUUUCAUGUAGCUGUUAAACAACAUCAUAGACAACACGGAGCCCUGAGGGACACCAUAGGAAAGUUCAGGUUUUGAAGAACAGCAGUCUCCAAGAGACACCAUCUGGAGUCUGCCCAUGAGGUCAGGAUGAAGCCUCUGGUCACUUAUUUCCUGGCAGUUGGCUUGACUGCAGUUGCUGUGCAAGAGGGCGUGUCUGCACAGAUGUGCACCUUUGACCUGCUGGACAAAAAGGACAGCCAAUUUUGCAGAGGGAAGUUAGAAAUUAUCUACCCAGAACUGGGAGAUGUUGGCUGCACAUAUAUUCCAGCUUGCAACCAGUACCGUAAGCUGAUCAGCAACGAAUGGAAAAGCCCAACUGUUAGAUACCGGAAGGCAAAUGAGAAUAAAGAGUAUGUCCUGAUCAUGGUUGAUCCAGAUGCCCCUAGCAGAGCAACUCCAAAGUACCGUUUCUGGAGACAUUGGCUUGUCAGCAAUAUCAAAGUUUCUCAAGAGUCUUUGAUGAGGAACUUUGCCGAAAGCUUUUUGAAAGUCCAGGUAGACUAUGUCAACUGGAUCACCUUUAUCCACACAGCUGCUGACACUCUCAAAGAACUCCAAAAGGGUGCUGACCUGAAGAAUGGGAAUCUCCAAGGCAAUGUGUUAUCAGACUACCUCCGACCCACUCCACCACCCAAAAGUGGUUUCCAUCGCUACCAGUUCCUCAUCUUUGAACAGCCAGCUCAUCAAACCAUAGCCUUGAGUCUAGAGGAAUCAGCAUCUCCAGCUGUAUCACUUGAGCCAGUGCUACGGAUCUCCUUUUCAUUUGAUCACCUCGUAUUUAUUGCAGUUGGCUUUUCCAAGCUUCGGAGCAAUGCAAAGUGCCUGCCAUGUUCCCUCCCCCUGGAUGUUAAGAACAAUUCUUCUGAAUUCUGACAUGCAGGGAAAAUUGCAAUAGAUUUGAAAAGCAGACUAUUCCCAGGAGAAAGGCAGCAAUCAAAUGUUGGUGUUUCCGUGCCAGAUGCUUAUUGGAUGGAUGUGUUAAAGUGGCCACUGAUACAGCUGACAUCGCUUGGCAUCUCUACAAAUUAGGCUCUAGAUGUCACUAGCUGGUUACCCGCUGAAAAUAUCUAUAGAGCAGAGACCAAAUCGUAACACCCUGGAGCUUCUUUUUCUUUUCUUUAAACAUGUAGUUUAUUUGAUUUUUAGGUUUUAUUAUAAAGAGAAACAAUUCACAUCCAUGUCCCCAUCUGUCCCCCACCCCACCCCCCACUCCCAGCCCAAGGAUUUUACAGUAUGGCAUAAAUGCUUUAUUGUUUUUAAUUGAUUUUAAUAUUUUUAUGGGAUUUUAUUGCAUUUUAACUUUUGUAAACCGCCUUGGGACGAGUUUUAUGAAAACUCAUAUAUAAAUUAAACAAUAAAGAAAAGAAAAGAAAAACUGA